AACGAACGCUGGCGGCAUGCCUAACACAUGCAAGUCGAACGAAGCCUUCGGGCUUAGUGGCGCACGGGUGCGUAACGCGUGGGAAUCUGCCCUUGGGUUCGGAAUAACAGUUAGAAAUGACUGCUAAUACCGGAUGAUGUCUUCGGACCAAAGAUUUAUCGCCCAAGGAUGAGCCCGCGUAGGAUUAGGUAGUUGGUGGGGUAAUGGCCCACCAAGCCGACGAUCCUUAGCUGGUCUGAGAGGAUGAUCAGCCACACUGGGACUGAGACACGGUCCAGACUCCUGCGGGAGGCAGCAGUGGGGAAUAUUGGACAAUGGGCGAAAGCCUGAUCCAGCAAUGCCGCGUGAGUGAUGAAGGCCUUCGGGUUGUAGAGCUCUUUUACCAGGGAUGAUAAUGACAGUACCUGGAGAAUAAGCUCCGGCUAACUCCGUGCCAGCCGCCGCCGUAAAAC
rnacentral:rRNA from 1 species